rnacentral:rRNA from 1 species
UGUGGUGGCGAUAGCAAGAAGGAUACACCUGUUCCCAUGCCGAACACAGAAGUUAAGCUUCUUCACGCCGAGAGUAGUUGGUGGGAAACUGCC